ACGGGAGGCAGCAGUGGGGGAUAUUGCACAAUGGGGGAAACCCUGAUGCAGCGACGCCGCGUGAGUGAUGAAGUAUUUCGGUAUGUAAAGCUCUAUCAGCAGGGAAGAUAAUGACGGUACCUGACUAAGAAGCACCGGCUAAAUACGUGCCAGCAGCCGCGGUAAUACGUAUGGUGCAAGCGUUAUCCGGAUUUACUGGGUGUAAAGGGAGCGUAGACGGCGAGGCAAGCCAGAUGGGAAAGGCUGGGGCUCAACCCCGGGACUGCAUUUGGAACUGUCUGGCUAGAGUAUCGGAGAGGUAAGUGGAAUUCCUAGUGUAGCGGUGAAAUGCAUAGAUAUUAGGAGGAACACCAGUGGCGAAGGCGGCUUACUGGACGAUAACUGACGUUGAGGCUCGAAAGCGUGGGGAGCAAACAGGAUUAGAUACCCUGGUA
rnacentral:rRNA from 1 species